AGUUUGAUUCUGGCUCAGAUUGAACGCUGGCGGGAUGUUUACUACGUAAGUCGGAACGGCAGCACGGACUUCGGUCUGGUGGCGAGUGGCGAACGGGUGAGUAAUGUAUCGGAACGUGCCUAGUAGCGGGGGAUAACUACGCGGAAGGUGAAGCACGGGUUAUUGCCUUCGCUGGGGAAAGCGGGACCUUCGCCUCGCACUAUUAGAGCGGCCGAUAUCGGAUUAGCUAUGGAAGUUGGUGGGUAACGGCUCACCAAGGGCGACGAUCCGUAGCUGGUUUGAGAGGACGACUCCACACACUGGACUGAGACACGGCCCAGAUUCUCUACGGAGCAGCAGUGGGAAUUUUGGACAAUGGGGAAACCCUGAUCCAGCCAUCCUCCGCGUGCGAUGAAGGCCUUCGGGUUGUAAAGCACUUUGGCAGGAAAGAAACGGCACGGGAUAAUACCCUGCGUGCAACUGACGGUACCUGAAUAAGCACCGGCUAAUCUGGCCGUGCCAGCAGCCGCGUAAUACGUGGAAGCGUUAAUCGGAAUUUGACAUAAAAGCGUGCGCAGGCGGUUCGGAAAGAAAGAUGAAAUCCCGGUGAGCUUAACUUCGAACUGCAUUUUUAACUACCGAGCUAGAGUGUGUCAGAGGGAGUGUGGAAUUCCGCGUGUAGCAGUGAACAGUGUAGAUAUGCGGAGGCACCGAUGGCGAAGGCAGCCUCCUGGGAUAACACUGACGCUCAUGCACGAAAGCGUGGGGAGAUUAGAUACCCUGUAAUCCACGCCCUAAACGAUGUCAACUAGUCGUUGGGGCCUUCGGGCUCGGUAGCAGCCACCGCGUGAAGCUGAGGCCUGGGGAGCCGGUCGCAAGAUUAAAACUCAAAGGAAUUGGAUGACCACGCGGUGGAUGAUGUGGAUUAAUUCGAUGCAACGCGAAAAAACCUUACCUACCCUUGACAUGUCUGGAAUCCCUGAAGAGAUUUGGGAGUGCUCGCAAGAGAACUGAACACAGGUGCUGCAUGGCUGUCGUCAGCUCGUGUCGUGAGAUGUUGGGUUAAGUCCCAACGAGCGCACUUUGACAGUACAAUGAAAGGGCACUCUAAUGAGACUGCCGGUGACAAACCGGAGGAAGGUGGGGAUGACGUCAAAGUCCUCAUGGCUCCUUAUAUGGGUAGGGCUUUCACGGCACACGUCGGGACAGAGGGUCGCCAACCCGCGAGGGGAGCCAAUCCCAGAAACCCGAUCGUAGUCCGGAUCGCAGUCUGCAACUCGCCGACUGCGUGGAAGUCGGAAUCGCCAGUGGUAAUCGCGGAUCAGCAUGUCGCGGCAACACAUGUUCCUGGGUCUUGUACACACCGCCCGCUACACCAUGGAGUGGUUUUACCAGAAGCAGUUGUGGGGCCUAACCGCGAGGGCGACGCUUCUCAUAGGUGAUCUACAUGAUCAAGAAGUCAACAAGGUAG
rnacentral:rRNA from 1 species